GAAAAAGCAAUAGAAGUUGGGGCAGAUAGUAGUCAGUUCCCCAAUAAUUGGAUUUUUCAUUCCCGAGAAAAGAAGCCUGGGAAGGCUUUUGUUGAUGGUUUGGCUCCUAACGUACAGGAUAUCUCAUAUUUUCUUCUCUCUUCCUCUCUAUGCACAUACAUAUUACAUUUUGUUUUAAGAGUGGUAAAUAUUUAAUUGUUAUCUAACAUUGUAUCUUAACUCACCAUUCUUUCUGUUUUUGCUUCUUAAACACUUUGGAUUGAAUUGUGUACAAAUAUUGAUGAGUUUUUUCGGUUAUGGAAAGGAAGAAAAUUGAUUUUAUCACUG
rnacentral:misc_RNA from 1 species